UGAGAUAAAGCAUAGGAAUUUAUCUCAGUGUAUUUUUCAUAACAUCUACUAGUGAGGCAGUCAGUGGAGGGGAGGCGGUUUAUUUCGAGGGGCCCAUGUGAUUUUGCCAGCAAAGUGAGAGAACAGAGAACAGAGUGAAUGCUAUUAUCGGGACUUCUCAAAGCAACAAAACUAGAGCACUGCUCCGAAAACUCUGUUUGACUUUGACCGCUCAAAUACGUCUGGCAAUCCAGCUAAUGCUCCUGAGGAAAUCUCCAUCUGAUUAAAGGGUGGCCAUGACACUUUUUGACAGUGACGAUUCAACAUGGUGCCAAAGCCCUAAGCCCUUGCUGAUCUCCUGAAUGUAUUGCCUGAAAUCUGACAACUUCCUAAUAUGGAUGCCGUAACAGACAGCUUUGAAGUGAAAGGGAGACUGGUGCUAUGAAGCCAUUCGGAAGAACCUACAACCCAGGAUGCCAUGGAUAAGGGGGUCCAGAUUCAGGUCACCCUUUAGCUGAAAGCGGUCUCCGAUUGUAAAGGCGGGAGAAGACGGCGCACAGGGGAGAGGUAUCCGCUGCAGUGAGGGUCAGCAUCAAGUCUCGGACCACCUUCUCAAAGCCAGCCUCUACCCCCAAGCCACAAGACUGAUCCAACAGCUGAACCCUGGGCUGACUCCUGCACCAUACCACACACUAUUCGGUACACACUUAAAUCACUUUAGUCUACCGUACCAAUGAAAUAGUUAUGUCACCUAACUGCACUAUGUAGAUAUACUUUAAUUAUAAUUAUAUGCUGCUACUGCACUGUAUUUCUUCCACUCUAUGCACAUUGAGCAAAAAAUAUCCAUACUAUAUGAAUAUAGGCUAAUUUGGUUUUAUCUGAAUGCUUCUUUUGUACUUGAUUUAGUUUAUUUUUAUUGUUUUAUUGUUUGUAUAUUUACAAUGUCAUUUAUUUGAUUACUUUACUAUGUCACAUUGAUUACUGUCUGUUUUGUUGCCAUUGUACUGUGUGAGAAGCCUGUCAAUAAUUUAUUUUUUGUUGAUUUUACUGGAUUUAUUUGUCAUCAUCUGUUGAUCCAGGGAACCAGGACUAGCCCUCAUUAUCUGAUAUAUUUUGCACACACUGUCACGCCCUGACCUCUAGAACUCUAGUUAGUUUGGUCAGGGUGUGCAUGUUGAGUUCUAUGUUGUAUAUCUAUGGUUAGAGUCUAGUUGUUAUACGUCUAUGUUUGGCCGGGUGUGAUUCCCAAUCAGAGGCAGCUGUCGCUCGUUGUCUCUGAUUGGGGAUCA